AUUGAACGCUGGCGGCAGGCCUAACACAUGCAAGUCGAGCGGUAGAGAGAAGCUUGCUUCUCUUGAGAGCGGCGGACGGGUGAGUAAUGCCUAGGAAUCUGCCUGGUAGUGGGGGAUAACGUUCGGAAACGGACGCUAAUACCGCAUACGUCCUACGGGAGAAAGCAGGGGACCUUCGGGCCUUGCGCUAUCAGAUGAGCCUAGGUCGGAUUAGCUAGUUGGUGGGGUAAUGGCUCACCAAGGCGACGAUCCGUAACUGGUCUGAGAGGAUGAUCAGUCACACUGGAACUGAGACACGGUCCAGACUCCUACGGGAGGCAGCAGUGGGGAAUAUUGGACAAUGGGCGAAAGCCUGAUCCAGCCAUGCCGCGUGUGUGAAGAAGGUCUUCGGAUUGUAAAGC
rnacentral:rRNA from 1 species